GGUUGUUUGGCCGAGCGGUCUAAGGCGCCUGAUUCAAGAUAUCUACGGACUCUUAACUAGUGAGAACUAGGAAUACUCAGGUAUCGUAAGAUGCAAGAGUUCGAAUCUCUUAGCAACCA
rnacentral:tRNA from 1 species